ACGAACGCUGGCGGCACGCUUAAUACAUGCAAGUCGAACGAUAAACUUCGGUUUAUAGUGGCAAACGGGUGAGUAAUGCAUAGGAACGUGCUCAUGAGUGGGGAAAAGCUGUUGGAAACGACAGGUAAUACCGCAUGUGCCCUAAGGGGUAAAGAUUUCGAUCGCUCAUGAAUCGGCCUAUGUCGGAUUAGGUAGUUGGUGGGGUAAUAGCUUACCAAGCCUGUGAUCUGUAGCUGGUCUGAGAGGAUGAUCAGCCACACUAGGACUGAGAUACGGCCUAGACUCCUACGGGAGGCAGCAGUAGGGAAUAUUGGACAAUGGGGGAAACCCUGAUCCAGCGAUGCCGCGUGAAUGAUGAAGGCUUUAGGGUCGUAAAAUUCUUUUAGUAGAGACGAUAAUGACGGUACCUACUGAAUAAGCACCGGCAAACUUCGUGCCAGCAGCCGCGGUAAUACGAAGGGUGCAAGCGUUGUUCGGAAUUAUUGGGCGUAAAGGGCGCGUAGGCGGGCUUUUAAGUUGGUUGUUAAAUUCCGGAGCUUAACUCCGAGAGUGCAUCCAAUACUGAAAGCCUAGAGUUCGGAAGAGGAAAGUGGAAUUCCUAGUGUAGAGGUGAAAUUCGUAGAUAUUGGGAGGAACGCCAAUGGCGAAAGCAGCUUUCUGGUACGUAACUGACGCUGAGGCGCGAAAGCGUGGGGAGCAAACAGGAUUAGAUACCCUGGUAGUCCACGCCCUAAACGAUGAUCGCUAAGUGUCGGAUUUAGUUCGGCAUUUAAGCUAACGCGUAAGCGAUCCGCCUGGAGAUUACGGUCGCAAGACUAAAAUUUAAAGGAAUUGACGGGAACCUGCACAAGCGGUGGAGUAUGUGGUUUAAUGCGAAGACACACGUCGAACCUUACCAGCUUUUGACAUGUAUUUUGAGACAUGGGAGACUAUGUCGUGCCUCGCAAGAGGACAAAUACACAGGUGUUGCACGGCCGUCGUCAGCUCGUGUCGUGAGAUGUUAGGUUAAGUCCUGUAACGAGCGUGACCCUUGUUGCUAUUUGCCAGCGGGUAAUGCCGGGAACUUUAGCAAGACCGCUAACGUAAGUUGGAGGAAGGAGAGGAUGACGACAGGUGGCGUGACCUUUAUGGGCUGGGCUACACACGUGCUACAAUGGCGACUACAGAGAGCGGCAAUGGAGUGAUCCGGAGCAAAUCUUUAAAAGUCGUCUCAGUUCGGAUUGCUCUCUGCAACUCGAGAGCAUGAAGUUGAAAUCGCUAGUAAUCGCAGAUAAGAAUGCUGCGGUGAAUAAGUUCUCAGGUUUUGUACACACCGCCCGUCACACCACGGGAGUUAGUCUAAUUCGAAGUCGAUCCAGCCAACCCGCUUGCGGGAGGCAGACGAUCAGGGUUAGGUUGAUGAUUGGGGUUA
rnacentral:rRNA from 1 species